rnacentral:sRNA from 1 species
AUGAGAAGCUUCGACUAAGGUUCGACUCGAGCGAAGCGAGAGAACGUUGCCGCAGGCAACGGCCCGAAGGGCGAGGCGCUUUAGCGCCGAGU